AGAGUUUGAUCCUGGCUCAGGACGAACGCUGGCGGCGUGCCUAAUACAUGCAAGUCGAACGCACGAAGUUGAAGAGCUUGCUCUUUAACCAAGUGAGUGGCGGACGGGUGAGUAACACGUGGGUAACCUGCCCAUUAGAGGGGGAUAACAUUCGGAAACGGAUGCUAAUACCGCAUAGUUUCAGGAAUCGCAUGAUUCUUGAAGGAAAGGUGGCUUCGGCUACCACUAAUGGAUGGACCCGCGGCGUAUUAGCUAGUUGGUGAGGUAAUGGCUCACCAAGGCAAUGAUACGUAGCCGACCUGAGAGGGUGAUCGGCCACACUGGGACUGAGACACGGCCCAGACUCCUACGGGAGGCAGCAGUAGGGAAUCUUCCGCAAUGGACGAAAGUCUGACGGAGCAACGCCGCGUGAGUGAAGAAGGUUUUCGGAUCGUAAAACUCUGUUGUUAAAGAAGAACAAGGAUGAGAGUAACUGCUCAUCCCCUGACGGUAUUUAACCAGAAAGCCACGGCUAACUACGUGCCAGCAGCCGCGGUAAUAC
rnacentral:rRNA from 1 species